CCCUAAACUAUUAGACCUUUGGCAACAUAACCACCACACUGAAGUGAUUAUGUUGCUUAGAGUUCCACUUUAAGUGUCACUUGUAGUACAAGUAGCUUACAGAUCACUCCUGCAUAAAAAUAAUGCUGAUUCUACAUUUGCAGAUGUAUAUGUGCUUGUACCCAACCAGUUACUGCUUUGCAGGGGUUCAGACGAGUUCUAUUAUAUUUCCAUACAUAACCG